CCUACGGGUGGCAGCAGUGGGGGAUAUUGCACAAUGGGGGAAACCCUGAUGCAGCGACGCCGCGUGCGGGAAGAAGUAUUUAGGUAUUUAAAGCUCUAUCAGCAGGGAAGAAACUGACAGUACCUGACCAAGCCGCCCCGGCUAACUACGUGCCAGCAGCCGCGGUAAUACGUAGGGGGCCAGCGGUAUCCGGAUUUACUGGGUGUAAAGGGAGCUUAGACGGUUAUGUAAGUCUGGAGUGAAAGCCCGGGGCCCAACCCCGGGACUGACUUGGAAACUGUGUAACUGGAGUACAGGAGGGGCAGGCGGAAUUCGUGGUGUAGCGGUGAAAUGCGUAGAUAUCAGGAGGAACACCGGCGGCGAAGGCGGCCUGCUGGACUGAAACUGACGUUGAGGCUCGAAAGCGUGGGGAGCAAACAGGAUUAGAUACCCGGGUAGUC
rnacentral:rRNA from 1 species